GAAGAGGCCGAGGGGAGGGGCUGGAGGCGGCGUGGCGGCCUCGGCCCUGAGUGAGGGCCGGUAGCUCCGGAGCCGCGUAUCGGCUGUCUGCGGUUCUCGGCUGUUUGUCCGGAAGCGCAAAAAGCGUUCGGGUUCUGCGUCUUCUCUGCCGGGGGGAAUUUCGUGCGGCCCCGCCUCUGAACAGCUCGAGGCUGACGGGCCCUGAGAGGCCGGUGUGUGGGAGGCAGCCCGGCCAAGGCACGGCGUGGGCUGUGGGGCCCUUCUGACCCGUUCACCUGGCUGCAGCAAGGUGUUCUGGCACAACUUCAAUCUAUCGUGUUGAAAUCUGAGCUCCGGGGUUUGUACAGAGCCUUACUUUCUGUGACGCCCGGAAGUUUUGCUGGGUAGAGUUCACUGUUUGAUUCGUUUUCUUGUGUUUGUGGAUGCUGGAGGUUUUUAAAAAAUGGAGUCAGAUGGGUUAGGUACUGAUUUUCUAUCCCUUGGUUGGCCCUAUGGUCAUCUGUUCCACUUUACGCCAUCUUUCUAGCACAGCUUUACCCAGGCGCAGCUUCUGUCGUAGGGUUCACACACUUAUGGCUGUUUAUUGCCUACAGAUCUGUCAGCAAGGCUGCGAGUGGAUGCUUUCCAUGUUCAACAUCUAGAAAUGCGUGAUGCUCUUUGCGUAUUCAGGUGGGCUAAUACACAACAGCGAGUGUAUUUAUUUCCUGCAGCAAAUCUUGGGACUGUAGCAAAAUGGAGAAAUCCGAAAGGAGAUUAAAGCCUGUCAAGGUCCGUGUUAUUCAACUACUGCCUUGGCCUGAGGUGCAUGCAGCUGGACAAUCUGUUGCUCACCCAUCUGUCAGGCAGUUUCAGGACAGAUGUGAUGACAGUCUGGAUCAAGUUGGGUAUGCCCAAAGUCAGGGAAGAAGGUUACAAGAAUUCCAAAUCAGUUACCUAGAAAGGAAGUUCUUCUAUCUCUGGGCAAAAAGGACAUUUGGACAAGUUCUCCCUUCCAAAGCCAGAUGCCUGUAUGAGCAGCAGAUCCUUCAAAAAACUUUCAGAGUGUGGAGGGAAUGGUGGACUGUCUGCAGACAAAGACAGCUCAACCUCAGAGCAGACAGCCAUUACAGGCACUUACUCCACAGUUUGAUAUUCAGGGCUUGGAGAGCCUAUGUAUUCCAGCAACAGGGAAAGAGGAACAAAUAUUAUGUUGCAGAGUCUCAUGCAAAGAAGCAAAAACUGCUCAGGACCUGGCAGCAUUGGCUGAUUUAUGUUGAUGUCCAAAGGACAAAACAAAGGAUGCAGGCUGUGGCACUGGCAUUCAGGGAAAGAACCCGUUUGCGGACAUCAUGGGCAGUGUGGAGAAGACGAUGCUGUCAGAUCUGUACCGGACGUAAAAUGAAUAUUUUGGCUCUGCAGCACUGGGCUCAGAGCCUGCAAUUUCGAGCUUGGCUGCAGUGGCGAGACCUAUAUUUAAACAGCCAGAAUGCCAAGCAGAAGGAGAUCAGGGCAGUAACUCACCAUGUGCACAGGGAAUUGAAGAGGUGCAUGGAAGCAUGGCUGGAAUAUGUGAACAUCCGCAGGGAAAAGAAACAUCAGAAUGAGCUGGCUCAAAAGCAUCUCCAAGGUCGGGUGGUCCAGCAGUGUUUCUCAGAUUGGCAUCUGUCAUGGGAGUGCAGGAGGAGAGUGCAUGCUUACCAAAAGGACCUUGAAAAACUGUCAGCAAGGAUUACCUUAAGGAGAGUCUUUGCACGCUGGAAGCAUUAUGUUGUACUGUGUGUGGAAGAGACUCUGCAAUGUGAGCUGGCUGAAAAGCACCACAGACAUCAGCUGCUGAAGUUUGGGUUUAAGGGUCUUCAGCAGAAUGUCAUGAACAGUCAUCUUCAUCGAGUGAGAAAAAAUCUGUCGUUCCACCAGCACCGAGUUACGGUGCUGCAGAAGUUCUGGAACUGCUGGAAGUCCCGUUUGGAAGAGAAGGAAGAACAACAACAGCAGGCUUUAACAUCUAUGGCACAUGCCCAUUACAGGAGGGUGUUGAUGAGACAUGUAUUUGACACAUGGUUGGUGAAGGCAUGCAAGCAGCAAGAAUACAGGAUGGGAGAGAACAGGGCUGUACUUCAUUUCGAAAGGCAACUUUUGGUUUCUUUCUGGUGCUUUUGGCGUAGAAGAACAGCUGCACAUCUGGAAGAGCAAGAGGACUUGGCUCGUGCAAGAGAUCACUACAGGAAUAUGCUUCUUCUGAAUGCUUUCUGUUUGUGGAAGAAAAAUACUCAGGAGAGAAAAAUGGAGAAGCUCAAGGAGAUGCAAGCCUUAAGGUUUCACUAUUCAAAGUGUCUGCAGCAAUCUUGGAACAAGUGGAGAAAGUACAUGCGACAUCAGUGUGAGAAAUGGAGGAAGCUGGUGCAAGCAGACAUGCAUUAUCAGCACGUGCUACUUGGCAAGAUGUUGGCAGCCUGGAAGAGUUAUCAAGAUAACAUUCACUGCAUUCUGUACCAAGUAGCUGAAAAGGAGGAACAGCACAAUAGACUACUGCUGCGGCAGCUUCUGUAUUUGUGGAGGGAAAAUGCUCUUGCUCUUAUACAUGAACGAAAAGUGACUACUCAAGCAGAUGAGCACUACCAGAGAGCAAUUCUGUUAAAGGUGUUGCUGCAGUGGAGGUACACUGCCUCACUACGAGUGUAUCGUCGUCAGCAGAAGGUGGCAGCUGUGAUGGAGGCCAGAAAACAUUUGGAUGCAGUGCGUUUACAGACCCUGUUUCUCUGCUGGAAGGAAUUUACUAAGGAGUCUCUGAUGAUGAAGGUUCAGCAGCGCAGAGCAGUGCAGCACCAUCAGCAGCACCUACUGCAGAAUUACCUGGAAAAAUGGAAGAAAUACCAUCAGCAGUGCAUUGAGAAGAUGCUACUGCAGAGAAAAGGAGGACAGCUAAUGACUCAUAGGCUUCUCUCCACUUUCUUUUUGUGCUGGAAGACAAGGCUGUUGCAGCAGCAAUGGGAAAAGCGAAACACGGUGCAAGCAUUGUGGCACUGGUCACUUUCAUUGCAGAGGAAGGUAUUCAAUGCUUGGCUGAGAUUUGCCCAGGGGCAACAGCAGUACAAAGAGCGUAUUGAAAAAGCCAAAGGAGUUUAUCGUUCUGCUCUCCUGAGAGAAGGUGUAACCAGGAUUUUGAGGUACACUGCUGGCAUGAAACAGUUGCGGGGAGAACUCCAAGCCCGGAACCAGAUGAAGGCAGCCUACAAUCUUCACCAGUCAGUCUAUCGUUGUGCAAUGCUCUGGAAACAGAAGGCUCUCUACAAGAGAUUAAAUAAGUCUCGUUCUUUUCUGCCACCUUUGAAGAAGCAAGUGACAUUUGAAAUACCUGAUGACAGCCUUGAAACUAGAGGACAUUCAGCAGAGGAAAAGCUGUGGCCUUCAAAAUGCAGUGAUCUACCAUUCCUAUUUGCUGGCAAUAACUCAACUCUCAGUGAGCUAGAGGUUGUUCGACGAGCAAGGUUACCACCACGAAGACCUGACUUCCUCAUAGAAUCUCUAGAAAGAAAGGAACUGCUGGGAACUCCUUUUUCCAGAUCAAAAAUGCCUUUUCAGCCAACAAAUGUGAACAAAUGUUCUUCUCAGAACGGAAAUUUAAUGUUAACAAUGGAAAUGGAAGAAAACACAUGUAAGAAGCUUUCUCAACUGGGCACUCACUGUUCUCUGACACACGAUGCUCUCCCAUCUGUACCAUCAAGGACAAGUGCUGUGCACUGUGCUGUUCAGAAGCCAGAGUUACGGUCUUCUUCAUCUUUCAUGCCCCAAGUGAAAGCUGGAGCAGAAAUGAAAGGAGGACAGCCUGUGCAUGAUCAGACAGGAGCCCGUUCCCAAGCUUGUCAACAGAGAAAAGAGUUGGAAAAGUUGCAACCAAACUUACAGUCACAUUUGCUGUCACCUGAAGAAUUACUGAGAAAACAGAGUCACCAAAAUGCAGCUGAAUUGGAAGAAAGAAAGCACAGUUCCAGAGAAGAAAUAGUGCUACAGAGAAAGCUAGAAGCAGAACUCCAAAGCAUCCAACAGCAAAUGCAGUACUACUUCAGCAGGAAGCAAGAACUCAAGUCCUGUCGGCAGCAGGCACAGAUUCUACAUAAGUGGCUAGAAAGGAGAGCACAACCACAGGAUCAAGAUACUAUACAGAAAGUUCAGGAAGAAUUGGACCAGCUGGAGGUGAGGAUCAGUGCUCUCACCAGAGCACAACACCAAGAGAGACGUCACGUGCAGAACCUGGUUGCUCGCCUGCAUGAUAUUCAGGUUGCUCUGGAUAUGUAAAUUCACAUGAACCCGAUUUCUAGUAGGAAUGGCUGCAAUUUUAACCCCUUUCAUGGCAGAAGAGGAUAGAAAGAUGUACGCAUUCUCUUAGUCCAGCAAGACUCAUCGUUUGUUCUCAGUUAUAUUCACUACCAGGUGAAUACCUGCACAGUAUGGCAAUAAACACAAACGAGCGCACGCUGCCUGAGAGCUUGUCCAUCCUAUCAAACACAGUGAAAUAGGACUUGACUUGGAAAUCACCAUUCUGCACAUGAAAACAGUGACAUUUCAGCAAUAAACGACCAACUUAAUCUUGCUUCAAAUAAAAUCUUCCAAAUCAACAGUGCUCUAGCUUUAGUAAUGAAGAAAAAAACGCUUUGCCAUUCUGACAUGCCUUAUACAGUGUUAAUUUCUAAAAUCAAUUUUGCUCAGUUUCCCACCAGCACUGAGAGCAUACAGGUGCAACUGUAAAGUCACAGAAAUUGCCACUGAUAUUUCCUAUAGCCUUUCUUUUUCAAAAGAUCUGGUUUUCCAGUUGGAGGAAUGAAACCGUUUGGUUUCAAUAGCUGUUUGCUAUUCAAAGGAAAUCUAAGAACUGCAAUUCUGUUACAGCUUUCAAUCAAAACAUUAACGUGGAUGCAUUCUGCAACUGCAUUACAGAUGUAGAGAAUACCUCCAUGCAGGGCUGCCUGCAGACUCCUCUCAUCGGUGUCAGAGCAGAGAUCUGCAUUAGUGUAUUAUUUGGAAGGGCUGAACUAGAAGUAUUCAAAAAAAAGAAAAAUUGAAAAACAAACUCUCUCUAUACAAAAAAGCAGGAGACCAUUUCAGUGGCCAGGAAAGGGAACUGGACAAGCAAUGUGCUCUGCCUUAUCCUUGCCCUCGUACUUUGAGACGACUGAAUUAAUUCAGAAGUUUCUGUUAAUUUUUGUGGGCAAGCCAUUAGAGGACAAAUAAAUUCUCUGCUACUGAAAAAUGACUUAUCUGUGAAGCAAUUAGUCACGGCAGUUCUAAACAGUAAAAUUAAAGGGAUGAGUUUAAUCUCUCUGCUUUCAUGCUAGUGAUGCUCAGCCUGUUCUAAUAUUAAGGACCCUUCCACCCAGCUGCUGCCAGCUCCCUUCAGCACCACACAGCUAACAGACACGAAGCACAAGAGACCUGCUCAC